CGUUCUUUCACUUUGUGAAAGUUUCUAUGAGGUGCGAAUGCGGCUGUUUCCUGUAGGGUGUUUUAAACUGAAUGAAUUUACAAUCUUGAUCUCCUCGAACCUCCAACAAACACAGAGAUGGCAGAGAUAGUCAUGUCUCCAGUAAUCCAGCCUUACCUCCAACCGGGGAUGACCAUAGUCCAGCCAGAUGCCAUGUCUCCAACAAUCCAGCCUGAGUAUCAGCAGGUGAUGACUGUAGUCCAGCCAGAUGCCAUGUCUCCAACAAUAAUCCAGCCUCAGUAUCAGCAAGGGAUGACCAUAGUCCAGCCAGAAGCCAUGUCUCCAACAAUAAUGCAGCAGCCUCAGCCUCAGGAGGUGAUGACCGUGGUCCCUCCUGAAGCCAUGUCUCCAACAAUAAUCCAGCAGCCUCAGCAGGUGAUGACCAUGGUCCCUCCAGAAGCCAUGUCUCCAACAAUAAUCCAGCAGCCUCAGCAGGUGAUGACCGUGGUCCCUCCAGACGCCAUGUCUCCAACAAUAAUCCAGCAGCCUCAGCAGGUGAUGACCGUGGUCCCUCCAGACGCCAUGUCUCCAACAAUUAUCCAGCCUCAGCCUCAGCAGGUGAUGACUGUGGUCCCUCCAGAUGCCAUGUCUCCAACAAUAGUCCAGCCUCAGCCUCAGCAGGUGAUGACCGUGGUCCCUCCAGACGCCAUGUCUCCAACAAUAAUCCAGCCUGAGCCUCAGCACAUGAUGACUGUGGUCUCUCCAGUCCAGGCCAUAGUCCCACAAACUCAAGCAGUGGGUGAGUGUUCAGCAUGUCUAUUUUUAUUAAAUUUCAGAAAGACCUAACCAUUACAGAUCCUCUCUUGAUUUAGGGCAUGUCAGUGUGUUUUUGCUAUCGUAACGACAGGAAAAGUACACCUUGCAUGUUUCAAAACAUGCAAAAGACAUGUACUAAUUCUCUUAUUUAAAGCCGAUGUCCGUAAGUUUUGCGAUUUGGGGGAUUUAGGGCCCUCUCUGGUGAGAAUAGGUAAUUGAUCCGAGCAUGUGGAAGAAUCCUUUUAAACUCAGCGGGCAUGGUGCAGUCUCCUUUCUGAGUGCAUGAAUCUGAUUCCAGGUUAUGUUCAGCCAGAGAAAGAGUAAGUGCUUAGUCAGAAACUUCACUUCAACUACACACUAUGAGUAAAUGAGCCCUUCUGAAGUCUCCAUUGCUCCGCCAACUGCUGUGCAUUCAUAGCGCAGAAAACGAGUCAAAGAGUCGAUAAGCGGCGACAGUGUACAGUUGUAGCGCAGAAAACAAGCCAAAGAGUUGAAUAGUGGGGAGAGUGCACAGUUGUAGCACAGAAAACGAGCCAAAGAGUUGAUAAGCGGCGAUAUUGUACAGUUGUAGUGCAGAAAACGAGCCUAAGAGUUGAAAAGUGGGGAGAGUGCAGAGUUGUAGCGCAGAAAACAAGCCAAAGAGUUGAUAAUGGGAGACAGUGUACAGUUGUAGCGCAGAAAACAAGCCAAAGAGUUGAUAAGGGGAGACAGUGUACAGUUGUAGCGCAGAAAACGAGCCUAAGAGUUGAAAAGUGGGGAGAGUGCACAGUUUUAGCGCAGAAAACAAGCCAAAGAGUUGAUAAGUGGAAAGAGUGUGCGGUUGUAGCGCAGAAAACAAGCCAAAAAAAUGUAAAAGAGUGUGCAUUUGUAGUACGUAAAGACGUGUGAAGUGGCCAGAAGUAGAACUCCUGCAAAAAGUGACCCGACACCCCAGUUUUUAGAAUGAAUAUAUUAGGCUUAGCAGGGAUGGUGGUUCCAGCUCACUGUUACCAUUAAACACUAUAUUUUAUCCAUAUUCUUCUUUACUAAGAAAUGCUUCUGUUUUCAGCUUAGAAACAAAACUAAGCUGGUUUAUUUCAGGUUUUGGACGUAGCAUGAAAUAAACCAAUCAGAGUGCCACUCUAGUGUGCGUAA
rnacentral:lncRNA from 1 species